rnacentral:rRNA from 1 species
AACGAACGCUGGCGGCAUGCCUAACACAUGCAAGUCGAACGAGACCUUCGGGUCUAGUGGCGCACGGGUGCGUAACGCGUGGGAACCUGCCCUUAGGUUCGGAAUAACUCCCCGAAAGGGGUGCUAAUACCGGAUAAUGUCUUCGGACCAAAGAUUUAUCGCCUUUGGAUGGGCCCGCGUUGGAUUAGCUAGUUGGUAGGGUAAAAGCCUACCAAGGCGACGAUCCAUAGCUGGUCUGAGAGGAUGAUCAGCCACACUGGGACUGAGACACGGCCCAGACUCCUGCGGGAGGCGGGAGUGGGGAAUAUUGGACAAUGGCCGAAGGCCUGAUCCAGCAAUGCCGCGUGAGUGAUGAAGGCCUUAGGGUUGUAAAGCUCUUUUACCCGGGAUGAUAAUGACGGUACCGGGAGAAUAAGCUCCGGCUAACUCCGUG